rnacentral:rRNA from 1 species
CUACGGGCGGCUGCAGUGGGGAAUAUUGCACAAUGGAGGAAACUCUGAUGCAGCAACGCCGCGUGGAGGAUGACACUUUUCGGAGCGUAAACUCCUUUUAUAUAGGAAGAAGAUGACGGUACUAUAUGAAUAAGCGCCGGCUAACUCCGUGCCAGCAGCCGCGGUAAUACGGAGGGCGCAAGCGUUACUCGGAAUCACUGGGCGUAAAGAGCGUGUAGGCGGAUUAAAAAGUCAGAAGUGAAAUCCUAUAGCUUAACUAUAGAACUGCUUCUGAAACUCUUAAUCUAGAAUAUGGGAGAGGUAGAUGGAAUUUCUGGUGUAGGGGUAAAAUCCGUAGAGAUCAGAAGGAAUACCGAUUGCGAAGGCGAUCUACUAGAACAUUAUUGACGCUGAGACGCGAAAGCGUGGGAGCAAACAGGAUUAGAUACCCGAGUAGUC